GGAAUUUAAAAUGUGGAAUCUGCUCAGUGUCACUAAAAAUAGGAAAGGGAGAUUUGAUGAUGCAUAUUUGGAAGCACUGUUUACAGAAAAAGAAAACUCCACCAAAUCCUGACUGGUCAAUAAACCGUUGUUUCCAAAGAUAAAAUUAAGCCACAAGGACCCGGAUUUGCCCCCAGGAAGAUAGUCAAGAGCUGAAUACUCAGUUCUGAAGGGGUCUUCUGUAAUGUCUACUAAAAUUUCAGCCCCAAUUCUCUAAAAGUUCAGGAAAACACAGAGAAAGAGACCAAAACAGAGACCGAGGAUGAUAAAGCAAGCAAGAUUAAAUGUUCACAUGUGGGGACUCCAGUCCGCAGUGGACCUAGGAAGAAGGUGAAUGAUCAAGGGCAUCAGGGGAGUGUGGCAGAGCCUGGGCAAGCCCACAAGCUUGGCAGAGAAGAUUAGCCAUGUGAGACACAGCAGUCAGGAUGUUAUGUGCCAGGAGUCCGGGUGCAGCUUAACUGGGUCCUCUGCUCAGAGUCUCUGACAAGACUGCAGUGAAGGCAUCAUCGAGGCUGCAGUCACCUCAAGGCUCAACUGCAGAAGGAUCCACUUCCAAGCUCUAUCACAUGGUUGUUGGCAGGAUUCAGUUCUUCUUAGACUGUUGGACUGAGGGUAUCUGUCCCUCCCUGGCUGCAGGCUAAGCCUGCCCUCAGUUCCUUGCCAUGUGCGGCUCUCCAUAGGGCAGCUCACCUCGUUGGGGAGUAGGCUGAGACGAUCUGGAGAAAAAGAGAAAGAGUGUGUGUGUGUGUGUGUGUGUGUGUGUGUGUGUGUGUAAGCAAGACAAAAGUCACAGUCCUUUAUAAACUAAUCUCAGAAGUGACAUCCUAUCACUUCUGCCAUUUUCUAUUUGUUAGAAGUGGAUCACGAGCUCCAGCCCCUGCUCCAGCAGAGGGAUUACACAAGGGCAUGACCGCCAGGAAGUGCAGAUGACGGGGAGCAUCUUAGACAUCGACCUACCACAUAUGUCAAAGCAGGGAGUGAGCAGGAGGAACAAAUGCCUUGACCUCUCUCUCUUCCCAUCCUCUGAUCUCCCACCACUGUCCUCCAGUGGCCAAACUCAAGUAGAUGCCAGAAGGCAAGGGAGGCCUCAAAGUUCAUCCUUCCAGGCCAGUACAAAGAUGGACAGAGAAUAGAUCUGAGGCAGGGGGUGGGAGGGAAGUAGGAUGGACAGGGAAUAACCAGGACCUGAGAAAAGACACAGAUGAGCAAACUGACUAACAGCCAUCAUGGAGGUCAGCUACCCUAGAAGACAAGACAUCACAGAGAACAGCCCCUCAUCCACCACCGCAUCCAUGUGGUGCAUCUCUUUUCUCUAAUAUAUGUAUCCAAUUCUUUCCCAGGCCCUAUAAUCUGGGGUAACGUUGAACUUGGGCCCUGUUAUAAAGUAAUGAAAAUUUAUGUAGAACAGUUGUCUCUACCUUCCGCCUCACCCCAUUUUGUCACUGUCUGCCUCUUUAAUUCCUGAGGCCAAGAGGAGAAUUUGGAGAGGAAAAGAGCUGAGCAGUGACAUUUGGAAAGACCCUGCUCUGUGACAGCUCUAGUGUUGAUGCCAAAGUUCUAAUUUCCUCUUAGAAAAGACUUGUGCAAAUAUCAUCGUUUGCUCCUGUUGGCUUUUUUAAUGUGCUCAAUGAGAUUGAGAUCUAGAGUCAGCACUUGUUCUGACAUGCAGUGUACACGACACACAUCCCAGGGCACUGAUGCAAUCAAACCUUUCUCCUGUCCCUCAGCCCUCCCUGCUGCAGUGAAGGCCACUAGCACUUUCAAGGCUCCCGGACCUGGCCCCUCAGGCAGGCAGUCAAUUGCCAAGUCCUGUUCCUGUGUUAAUUCAAUGCAUCUCUCUGCUUCACCUACUGGCCACUGUUAGAUGUCAGAUAAAUCUCAACUAUUGACUCACACAGGGAGCUAUGCCUGGAGCAGAUCAGCUGCCUGAAUGUGAUGGUCUUAUUACCUGGAGGUUAAGGAUGGGUGAAAUGGGCUAAAAGUUCUCACUCCUCAUACCUUUCAUGUCCCACCCCAUUCAUUUGCUCUUCCUUUAUCUCCUGAGGAAACGGAUGCUCUGAACCCAGGCACCCAAAAUACCCUCAUGUCAAAAAUUCCCUGGUACGCCCUUUCCCACACAAAUCUUCAGAGCAGCCAUUGAGGCAGAGAAGCCUGCAGGACCACUUGGACCUGGUGGGAGCCAACACCAAGCAAACGGAGGAUCACAAGUGGACAUCCAGUACCCUGUUUUCCACCCGUCAGUCCUUCAACUGACUCCUGUUUCUCCUCAGCCCCCUUCUAUAAAUUUAGCAUUUAGCACCAGCCUGAACCAAACCUACCCAUAACUUUACUCUUGAACUUUACUCUGCAAAGCUAAGAAUCCCACACAUCUCCACAGAAAUUUAUUGUCUAAAAAAUGCUUUACCAUAUAUUAUCUCACUUAAUCUCCACCACUAUCCUGUACAUAGGAGCCAUAACUCCCAGAUGACAGAUGAAAAUCUAAAGUUUUUCAGUAUAUGACAGCAUACUGUCCUAGGUAUAUGAUAAAGCCAGAACUAAAAAUCCAGGCCUUUUGAAUUCCAGUUCAGGAGAGGAAGAAAUCCCAAGUCCCAGAGAAUUAUCUGCUUUUCUGGAUUGUUCACACCGUAGAUCAGCGCCCCUCUUGAAUGAAGAACCAAGUUCCAAUUUCAGUGAACGACCAUCAUCCUUUAACCAGGAGAUUCUCUCAGAAACAUGGGGGGUCCCAUUGAUGGGGCCUGAAGUUAGAGGUUGACAGGGACUCACGUGAGGCUGGAGGUGCUCCUCCCAGCAGGUGGAUAACUUCAAGACCAGGGGACAAUGCCAGAUAAGGCACAUGUGCCUUCAAAGCCAUCCCUUAAGAGAAGAAAGGAGCUGUGAACUCAGUCCCCACAUGUUCUGAGUGUGGCCUCCCAGAGAAAGGGAUUUGCUUAGUCUGGGGAAACCUUCAAGCCCCUGCACCGAAUCCUGUGGAGAUCAAGGCCAAGGUGGACACUGUGAUCUCCUGAGCCCCCAGUCCUGAUGGAGACAUGCCAGGACUGAGAGUCCUACCAGUACCUUCAACACACAUGCUGCAGAACCUCCCCCCAAAAAAACUUGCUCUGCCUCCAUUCUCUGAGAUCCCAGAGACGUGACCCAGAGGGCAGGUGGGGUGGGGAAGGAAGGAGGGAGGAAAGGGAUGGCUGGGAGCCAAUAGGGAAAGGACCUCCCUGCAAGGAUAUCAGCCAGCCCCAGCUAGCCCUUGUUGACUUAGCAGGUGACACUCUGGGGGACAAAGAGGGGAGGAUGCGGAAGCCACACCCCUCCAAGCUUGAUUCCCAUUGGCCCUUGGUAUCUUUAAAAGGGCCUAGCAGUCUCAGCACCAGUACUCGCAGAGCCUCUGAGGAUUCUGUGGUUAUACCUGCUCCUCAUCCAGAAGCAUGAGAUUCAUGGCUCUUCUCUUCCUGGCGGCUCUGGCUGGGGCCCUGGUCUGUGCCCAAGAUGCCUCUGUGACCCGUGCUGAACCUGGUGCGGGGAUCACAGCUCCAGUGGAAUCUGCUUCACCCCAAGAGACGGCAGCAGGAGACGGGUUCGCCCCAGGGGAACAACUAAAACCCCUGAAAGACUUAGCAGAGAGAAGACUCUUGAAAGCAAGGCGUACCCUUGAAGAAGCAAGAAAAGGAGCGCGGGAAGGAAUUGAAGGUGGAAAAAAACUCUUCGAAGGUGGAACUGAACUUUUAAGAAAACUGAGGGACAAAUUCAUUCCAAUUAAGCCCUAAGAACCUGAAAAGAAUGGGGUCUCUGGACUUAUCGCCUUAAACUUGCUUGCAGCUCAGAACAAUUAAACUGAAGCAUCCAACUUGCCGUGCGCUGUGCUCUGUGGGGUGGGCCCUGCAGGAGGGGUAGAAAAGCCCACCUGGAGUGCCGUGAGGCACCGGG
rnacentral:lncRNA from 1 species